GGUGCACUGUGGACGAUGAGUCAGGGCUAGGGGCGCCAGGACUUGGGCGUGCAGGACGCCAGGACUUGGGCGUGCAGGACGCCAGAGCUGGGUCAGAACUCGAGCCAGCGGCGCCCGGAGAGAUUCGGAGAUGCAGGCGGCUCGGAUGGCCGCGAGCUUGGGGCGGCAGCUGCUGAGGCUCGGGGGCGGAAGGUCUGUGUGUGACAAGAGGGACGGUGGGCAGCGGCCCUGGGCACCGGGCCGGGACUGAACCCCCACUCCCCACAGCUCGCGGCUCACGGCGCUCCUGGGGCAGCCCCGGCCCGGCCCUGCCCGGCGGCCCUAUGCCGGGGGUGCCGCUCAGGUAAGUCACCGCAGCCUUGGCAAGGGGGUGUGGGAGCGGUGGUCCGCUUCGGCGCCCGCCUCCCGCCGUCGGCAGGGAUCUCCCUCUUGGUGCCAGGUACCUGCCUACUGCUCUGUCGCCGAAAGUAGGGGAAAGGGCAAGCCAGGGUGCCCUAGGGCGAAACUAGGGGAAAGGUCACCGCUUCGCGCCGCCUCCCCGCGCGGCUCUCGCCUGUGCUCCCCUUGACACAGCGGAAGUCCCUUCCCUGGACUUGCUAACCGUCUCUUUUCCCAGCUGGCUCUGGACAAGUCAGAUUCCCACCCCUCUGACGCUCUGACCAGGAAAAAAUCGGCCAAGGCGGUAGGUAGCCCCGAGGCCAGGUGGACCUUAGCCAGACCCAACCAGAGCCCUGAAAUUCGCCUCUCUCUGCCCAGGAAUCUAAGUCCUUUGCUGUGGGAAUGUUCAAAGGCCAGCUCACCACAGAUCAGGUGUUCCCAUACCCGUCCG
rnacentral:sRNA from 1 species